rnacentral:rRNA from 1 species
GUACGGGAGGCAGCAGUAGGGAAUUUUCGGCAAUGGGCGCAAGCCUGACCGAGCAACGCCGCGUGAGGGAAGAAGGUCUUCGGAUCGUAAACCUUUGUCUUUGGGGACGAUAAUGACGGUACCCAAGGAGGAAGCCACGGCUAACUACGUGCCAGCAGCCGCGGUAAUACGUAGGUGGCAAGCGUUGUCCGGAAUUACUGGGCGUAAAGGGCGUGUAGGCGGUAAAUUAAGUCAGACGUGAAAACUCAGGGCUUAACCUUGAGACUGCGUUUGAAACUGAUAGACUAGAGGAUCGGAGAGGGCAGUGGAAUUCCCAGUGUAGCGGUGAAAUGCGUAGAUAUUGGGAGGAACACCAGUGGCGAAGGCGACUGCCUGGACGACACCUGACGCUGAGGCGCGAAAGCCAGGGGAGCAAACGGGAUUAGAUACCCCUGUAGUCCU